rnacentral:rRNA from 1 species
AACGAACGCUGGCGGCAGGCUUAACACAUGCAAGUCGAGCGCCCCGCAAGGGGAGCGGCAGACGGGUGAGUAACACGUGGGAACCUUCCUAGAGGUACGGAACAACUCAGGGAAACUUGAGCUAAUACCGUAUACGCUCUUGCGAGGAAAGAUUUAUCGCCUUUAGACGGGCCCGCGUCGGAUUAGCUAGUUGGUGGGGUAACGGCCUACCAAGGCGACGAUCCGUAGCUGAUCUGAGAGGACGAUCAGCCACACUGGGACUGAGACACGGCCCAGACUCCUACGGGAGGCAGCAGUGGGGAAUCUUGGACAAUGGGCGCAAGCCUGAUCCAGCCAUGCCGCGUGAGUGAAGAAGGCCUUCGGGUUGUAAAGCUCUUUUGCCAGGGACGAUAAUGACGGUACCUGGAGAAUAAGCCCCGGCAAACCUCGUGCCAGCAGCCGCCGUAA